rnacentral:tRNA from 1 species
GGGGGUAUAGCCCAAGCGGUAGAGCGCAUGCUUAGCAUGCACAAGGUCCUGGGUUCAAUACCCAGCAUCUCCU